AUUGAACGCUGGCGGCAGGCCUAACACAUGCAAGUCGAGCGGAUGAAGGGAGCUUGCUCCUGGAUUCAGCGGCGGACGGGUGAGUAAUGCCUAGGAAUCUGCCUGGUCGUGGGGGAUAACGUACGGAAACGGGAGCUAAUACCGCAUACGUCAUGAGGGUGAAAGGGGGGGAUCUUCGGACCUCACGCUAUCAGAUGAGCCUAGGUCGGAUUAGCUAGUUGGUGGGGUAAAGGCCUACCAAGGCGACGAUCCGUAACUGGUCUGAGAGGAUGAUCAGUCACACUGGAACUGAGACACGGUCCAGACUCCUACGGGAGGCAGCAGUAGGGAAUAUUGGGCAAUGGGCGAAAGCCUGAUGCAGCCAUGCCGCGUGUGUGAAGAAGGUCUUCGGAUUGUAAAGCACUUUAAGUUGGGAGGAAGGGCAGUAUGUUUAUACCUUCCUGUUUUGACGUUACCAACAGAAUAAGCACCGGCUAACUUCGUG
rnacentral:rRNA from 1 species